UAGAAGAACCAGUCAUGUGAUUGGAUGCACAAGAAUCAAGAAACCAUAGAUUAGAAAUAUUAGAAGACUUACCCUGAAUUUCCAAGGCUGAAAGAGCAUAAAGUACCAUUUAUUGAAUCAUUUCAGGCUGUAGAGCACCACCCUUAGAGGCACUAGAAAUCGAAGGACUAACUGUGGAGCUCGUAGUGGCAUGGAAUGCCUGCACGGAAUGUUGUGUUGGUCGUGGAGGGCACGUGGGACAGUCAGUGAUGAUA
rnacentral:lncRNA from 1 species